rnacentral:tRNA from 1 species
GGGGGUAUAGCUCAGUUGGUAGAGCUGCUGCCUUUGCACGGCAGAAGUCAGCGGUUCGAGUCCGCUUACCUCCA